UACGAAGGGGGCUAGCGUUGCUCGGAAUCACUGGGCGUAAAGGGCGCGUAGGCGGGUCUUUAAGUCAGGGGUGAAAUCCUGGAGCUCAACUCCAGAACUGCCUUUGAUACUGAAGAUCUUGAGUGCGGGAGAGGUGAGUGGAACUGCGAGUGUAGAGGUGAAAUUCGUAGAUAUUCGCAAGAACACCAGUGGCGAAGGCGGCUCACUGGCCCGAUACUGACGCUGAGGCACGAAAGCGUGGGGAGCAAACAGG
rnacentral:rRNA from 1 species